rnacentral:rRNA from 1 species
CGGGGACAACAGUCCGAAAGGAUUGCUAAUACCGCAUACGUCGGCGAGGUUUUCGAAUCUUGUCGGGAAAGGUGGCCUCUUCAUGAAAGCUACCACUGAAGGAGCAGCCCGCGGCCCAUCAGCUAGUUGGUGAGGUAAUGGCUCACCAAGGCAAAGACGGGUAGCUGGUCUGAGAGGAUGAUCAGCCACACUGGAACUGAGACACGGUCCAG